UGAAAGAGGGGAAAAGCCCAAAUUUGUAAUCUGGCUCUUUCAUAAGGGUCCGAGUUGUAAUUUUGAGAACUGUUUUCUGUGUUGGACCAUGUACAAGUCUGUUGGAAAACAGCAUCAUUGAGGGUGAUAAUCCCGUACAUGAUAUGGACUACCAGUGCAAUAUGAUACAGUCUCUAAGAGUCGAGUUGUUUGGGAAUGCAGCUCAAAGUGGGUGGUAAAUUCCAUCUAAGGCUAAAUAUAGGUGAGAGACCGAUAGCAAACAAGUACCGUGAGGGAAAGAUGAAAAGAACUUUGGAAAGAGAGUUAACAGUACGUGAAAUUGUUAAAAGGGAAACAUUUGAAGUUAGACUUGUUAUUAUUGGUUCAGCUUCUUUUUUUAAUUAGGAGUCUAUUCCAAUGGUUGACAGACCAGCAUCAAUUUUUGAGUGUUAGAUAAGGGUCUUGAGAAUGUGGCAACUUUUGGUUGUGUUAUAGCUCUUGGCUUGAUAUAAUGCUUAGGAUUGAGGAACGCAGUGAGC
rnacentral:rRNA from 1 species